rfam:Myotis brandtii contig320392, whole genome shotgun sequence.
CAUGCACUGGUGGGGUCCCUCGGCCUGGCCUGCAGGAAUUGGGCUGAAACUGGCUCUCAGACAGGGUCCUAGAUUGAGAGAGGGUGCAGGCCAGGCCGAGGGACCCCACUGGUGCAUG